rnacentral:lncRNA from 1 species
AUGAGCCUCCUUAACAAGUCCAAGAGUGAGAUGACCCCAGAGGAGCUGCAGAAGCGAGAGGAGGAGGAAUUUAACACGGGUCCACUUUCUGUGCUCACACAGUCAGUCAAGAACAACACGCAAGUGCUCAUCAACUGUCGCCACAACACGAAACUCCUGGGCCACGUGAAGGCCUUCCACAGGCACUGCAACAUGGUGCUGGAGAACGUGAAGGAGACGUGGACUGAGGUACCCAAGAGCGGCAAGGGCAAGAAGUCCAAGCCAGUCAACAAAGACUGCUAUAUCUCCAGGAUGUUCCUGCACGGGGACUUGGUCAUCGUGGUCCUGCGGAACCCACUCAUCGCCAGCAAGUAG